UACGUAGGGUGCAAACGUUGUUCGGAAUCACUGGGCAUAAAGAGCGCGUAGGCGGUCUGACAAGUCCCCUGUGAAAGCCCCCGGCUUAACCGGGGAACUGCAUGGGAUACUGUUGGGCUAGAGUGCAGGAGGGGAGAGCGGAAUUCCUGGUGGAGCGGUGAAAUGCGUAGAUAUCAGGAGGAACGCCGGCGGCGAAAGCGACUACCUGGCCUGUUCUUGACGCUGAGGCGCGAAAGCUAGGGGAGCAAACGGG
rnacentral:rRNA from 1 species